CAGGCCUAACACAUGCAAGUCGAGCGGGGGUAGCAAUACCCUAGCGGCGAACGGGUGAGGAAUGCUUGGGAAUCUGCCUCGUAGUGGGGGAUAACGUUCCGAAAGGAACGCUAAUACCGCAUACGUCCUACGGGAGAAAGGGGGGGAUCUUCGGACCUCUCGCUAUGAGAUGAGCCCAAGCGGGAUUAGCUAGUUGGUGAGGUAAUGGCUCACCAAGGCGACGAUCCCUAGCUGGUCUGAGAGGAUGAUCAGCCACACUGGAACUGAGACACGGUCCAGACUCCUACGGGAGGCAGCAGUGGGGAAUAUUGGACAAUGGGCGAAAGCCUGAUCCAGCCAUGCCGCGUGUGUGAAGAAGGCCUUCGGGUUGUAAAGCACUUUAAGCGAGGAGGAGGUUCGUUACUUAAUACGUAACGGAAUUGACGUUACUCGCAGAAUAAGCACCGGCUAACUCUGUGCCAGCAGCCGCGGUAAUACAGAGGGUGCAAGCGUUAAUCGGAAUUACUGGGCGUAAAGCGCGCGUAGGCGGUUGCGUAAGUUGGAGGUGAAAUCCCCGGGCUCAACCUGGGCAUUGCCUUCAAAACUGCGCAGCUAGAGUAUUGGAGAGGAAGGUAGAAUUCCAGGUGUAGCGGUGAAAUGCGUAGAGAUCUGGAGGAAUACCGAUGGCGAAGGCAGCCUUCUGGCCAAAUACUGACGCUGAGGUGCGAAAGCAUGGGGAGCAAACAGGAUUAGAUACCCUGGUAGUCCAUGCCGUAAACGAUGUCAACUAGGUGUUGGGGAACUUGAUUCCUUAGUGCCGCAGCUAACGCAUUAAGUUGACCGCCUGGGGAGUACGGUCGCAAGACUUAAACUCAAAGGA
rnacentral:rRNA from 1 species